rnacentral:rRNA from 1 species
UACGGAGGAUGCGAGCGUUAUCCGGAUUUAUUGGGUUUAAAGGGUGCGUAGGCGGAGUGUCAAGUCAGCGGUAAAGUUUCGGGGCUCAACCCCGUCGUGCCGUUGAAACUGACGCCCUUGAGUGAGUGAGAAGUAAGCGGAAUGCGUGGUGUAGCGGUGAAAUGCAUAGAUAUCACGCAGAACGCCGAUUGCGAAGGCAGCUUACCGGCGCUCAACUGACGCUGAGGCACGAAAGUGCGGGUAUCGAACAGG